rnacentral:misc_RNA from 1 species
CUUCUUUCUUCUCAUCUUUGACCCGAUCAUUUAAAGGUCCUUCUUCACUUCUCCUUCAUUUCUUCGUCAACCAACCCUUACUGCUGCCCUCUCUCACUCCAGCAUCCAUCGAUGAGCUCGUUGUGGUUGUUCGACAUCGUUCCUCCUAAAUGGCUAAGACAUGCAAAAUGUGAAGCUAUCGACGUACUACUUACGUCGAGAUCUUUGUAUAGAGACGAACUAUGACAAUUUUCAUUAUAGGAAAAUAUUUGGGACCCAUGACCUUUCGAUUGAGUUUUCAAACCCUGGCUAUAAUCUUUUUGAUAAAAUAAAAAUAGAUGCUUACUUAUCUCAUUGUCGUCUUGUGUAGGUACCCCAUUUUGGGGAAAUUCUAUUGGUGCCCAAGACUACAUUUUUCCACCUGAACACAAGGGGUCGGAUUGACUUUGGAAGGCGCCCAACAUUAAGUUGUUUCCCACAUUUUUGGGUGCCUCGGAUGUAUUUUGGGUAGUAGAAUUCAGAAAGUGGAAAAGAAUACCGGAACAGAACCCGAGGAGUCGAGUCAAGGCCAACAGGCGACUCGUUUGAGAUACAGAGACUAGAGGAGCAGCAGACUGAGCUGCUGAGGUGUGAGGAGCUACCAGCCUAAAGUCUUCGGGUAUAAUUUGUACCCUAACUGUAAAUAUUUCUUUUGAUGUAUAUAUUGCACAUAAAUGUAUGGACAUGUAAAAAAAUGGGUCUUGAGCAAUUUGUAUAAAAUUCGUAUAAAGUUGUAAUAUAUAUUGUAGUUUGAAAUUCUCUUAAUGUAAAUUUUGUAAUGAUGUAUCUAAAUUGUUUUGUUUCUAAUGAAAUAUGAAUGGAACUAUUUUAUUUAAUUUGAAUGAAAUGGAUUGUUAGUAUUUUGAUGAUCAUUGGAUAGUGGAUUUGAAAUUUGAAAGUUAAUAAAUGUGUUGAGAAAUUGAUUGAGAUUGAGUAUUAAAUUGAAGCAGCUGUUGAGAAAAAUUUUUAGAAGUGCUUUUUACAGGUAUUUGAAGAACUGUUUUUCCCAAAUAUAGACGGUACUCUGCCGAAAUUUUUCUAAAAUUUGCGGACAAAUAAAAAUGAACAAAAAUUUUAACUAACUUUUAAACUUCUAUUAAAUGUAAGAAAAUGCUCACCACUUCCAAAAAAUAAGAAAAUGGUUUUUAAAAUUCCUUGUAGGGUACUUAAUGAGUUA